rnacentral:rRNA from 1 species
GACGAACGCUGGCGGCGUGCUUAACACAUGCGAGUCGAACGGAAAGGCCCUGCUUGCAGGGUGCUCGAGUGGCGAACGGGUGAGUAACACGUGGGUGAUCUGCCCCUUACUUUGGGAUAAGCCUGGGAAACUGGGUCUAAUACUGGAUAGGACCAUGCUGUAGGUGGUGUGGUGGAAAGAUUAGUUUCGGUAAGGGAUGAGCUCGCGGCCUAUCAGCUUGUUGGUGGGGUAAUGGCCUACCAAGGCGUCGACGGGUAGCCGGCCUGAGAGGGUGGACGGCCACAUUGGGACUGAGAUACGGCCCAGACUCCUACGGGAGGCAGCAGUGGGGAAUAUUGCACAAUGGGCGCAAGCCUGAUGCAGCGACGCCGCGUGGGGGAUGACGGCCUUCGGGUUGUAAACUCCCUUCAGCCAUGACGAAGCCCUUGUGGUGACGGUAGUGGUAGAAGAAGCACCGGCUAACUACGUG